UCCGCAUAAUCUGGCCGUAUAUUUGACAGAGCCAUCUGAAAUUGUUCAAGCCAUUUUUUCUUCAAAUCUUUAGUUUUGCAAUAAACUUCUAAACCAUUUUGACCUUGGAUAUGAAUGAGGUAGAAGCCAUAAGACCACUUCUUAUUUUCUUUAUCAGUAGUGGGGUUAUUAGUAAUUUUGUAUUUCUGAAGAUCUAUUAUUUCCUUCAUUUCG
rnacentral:lncRNA from 1 species